CCUACGGGGCGCAGCAGUGAGGAAUAUUGGUCAAUGGACGAGAGUCUGAACCAGCCAAGUAGCGUGAAGGAUGACUGCCCUAUGGGUUGUACACUUCUUUUAUAUGGGAAUAAAAUGUUCCACGUGUGGGAUUUUGUAUGUACCAUAUGAAUAAGUAUCGGCUAACUCCGUGCCAGCAGCCGCGGUAAUACGGAGGAUCCGAGCGUUAUCCGGAUUUAAUGGGGUUAAAGGGAGCGUAGGUGGGUUGUUAAGUCAGUUGUGAACGUUUGCGGCUCAACCGUAAAAUUGCAGUUGAAACUGGAAGUCUUGAGUACAGUAGAGGUGGGCCGAAUUCGUGGUGUAGCGGUGAAAUGCUUAGAUAUCACGAAGAACUCCGAUUGCGAAGGCAGCUCACUGGACUGCAACUGACACUGAGGCUCGAAAGUGUGGGUAUCAAACAGGAUUAGAUACCCCGGUAGUC
rnacentral:rRNA from 1 species